GGGGAAUCUUGGACAAUGGGGGCAACCCUGAUCCAGCGAUGCCGCGUGGGUGAAGAAGGCCUUCGGGUUGUAAAGCCCUUUAGGCUGGGAAGAAGUGUGCGGGAUGAAUAAUCCUGUAUGUUGACGGUACCAGCAGAAUAAGCACCGGCAAACUCUGUGCCAGCAGCCGCGGUAAUACAGAGGGUGCAAGCGUUAAUCGGAUUUACUGGGCGUAAAGGGCGCGUAGGCGGUUGAGUGAGUGUGAUGUGAAAGCCCCGGGCUUAACCUGGGAAGUGCAUCGCAAACGACUUAACUGGAGUAGGUGAGAGGGUGGCGGAAUUUCCGGUGUAGCGGUGAAAUGCGUAGAGAUCGGAAGGAACGUCAAUGGCGAAGGCAGCCACCUGGCACCAUACUGACGCUGAGGCGCGAAAGCGUGGGGAGCGAAC
rnacentral:rRNA from 1 species